CAGGGGUGGCAGGGGGGUGGCACUGAGAUGUCACCUGUCACCCACCCCCGUGGGGCGCUGCCUCAAUGGAGCUCCUUGUGCCGCUGUGGUGCCACCCCGGUGCCAAUCCCACUCGUGGGGACACAGAUGCCGCAUUGUCCCGGCCUCGGGGACACGUGGGGACACCGAGGGGACACCGAGGGGACACCGAGGGGCUCGCUGCGGGUGGGGGGGGUGGGGCAGCUCUGCUCAUCCCGGGAUUUUGGGGAGGGGGAUGGGAGGGGCGGGAUUCCCGAGAUUCCUGGGAUUCCUGGGAUUCCUGGAUUUCGGGAUUCCGGGAUUUUGGGAUUUCAGGAUGCCGGGAUUUCGGGAUUCCUGGAUUUUGGGAU
rnacentral:lncRNA from 1 species